rnacentral:rRNA from 1 species
UACGGAGGAUCCGAGCGUUAUCCGGAUUUAUUGGGUUUAAAGGGUGCGUAGGCGGCCUGUUAAGUCAGGGGUGAAAGACGGUAGCUCAACUAUCGCAGUGCCCUUGAUACUGAUGGGCUUGAAUGUACUAGAGGUAGGCGGAAUGUGACAAGUAGCGGUGAAAAUGCAUAGAUAUGUCACAGAACACCAAUUGCGAAGGCAGCUUACUAUGGUAUUAUUGACGCUGAGGCACGAAAAGCGUGGGGGAUCAAACAGG